ACAACUUACAAAAGCAUCACAUAAUGAUUUACAUGUUGAAAAAUCUUUCCGAUCUUUUAUUAUAAUAUUCUUUAAAAAUCAAUUCGAAAAUUUAAUUACAAGUUUCGAAAUAUCCCCAAACAAAAAAAAAUAAUAACAAAUACUAUAAAGAAAAGGUUUAGAUGAGGUCUAUGGAUCGAGUCGUGCAGAGUAUUGUCCUAGAAGCGAAAUUGCCUCUCCACGUGCGAGGCUUUUCAGCAAUUACUUCUAGCGAUACGACGACCAUGUUCCAUCAUGUCGGCUCGCUUUAAAGGUGGCACAAGACGAACCCAACAAGCUUCAGAUCCAGCAAAAUANGGUGGCACAAAACGAACCCAACAAGCUUCAGAUCAAGUAAAAGAAAAUUCGGCGAAAAUCCAGAAAGCAGAAAAAGACGAGAGGCUUUAGAUAUGCUCGGGUUAUUAAUUAACUCGUGCAAUCUAGCCCCAUAACCUAAAAUUAUACGGAUAAUGAUCAGGAUUAGGAUAAGAAUAAAUCGGGUGUAUGAACCAUGCACCGCCGAUUGGCCCGACUCGGCUCGUGCUUGUGCUCGUGCUGUGCGCGUAUUUAAACGAGAGUAUUACUCUCACUUUCUUCCAAGAAACUAGCUUUAAAACAAAAGAAUAUAUAAAAAUCACAAACACCCAUUUGGUUUUCAAUAUGGGACUAAACAUCACAGAAAAUUUUAGUUGGGCUCCCAAGCGGCCCAGUAAUAAUUAUUGAGCUCUCAAGAGGCCUUAACAAGUUUUAAAUCAUAACAAACCUAAUAAAAUCCAAUAUUACAUAACUAAGUCACUAAUAACAAU
rnacentral:lncRNA from 1 species